AUCGCGCCCUGGGCCCAAGGCAGGCGCCAAACCGCUGUGCCACCCAGGGAUCCCCAGAUGUGUCUUUUCAUGACAGAGGUCAGAAUAGCAUUUUUAUAUAAAUGCUCAUACAAAGUGCUAAGUGUACUUAGACAUUAAUUACUAGAAAAACCUAUAGUGUGUAAAUUAAUACUUCAUUGGUCAUACUUAAUAUAUUGAUGUAACUUUUAUUUAGGGCUUCUUUAAACUUUAAGUGCCAAUUUUAUGUGCAGACUCAUGAUAUUGUAUGCAUAUUCAUUUCAUACUGAAUAAACAUACCCACUUCUUAAAGACACCCCCACCCCUAAUAGAGGAUGGCUCAUUUGGAGAAAAUACUAUGCUAAAUAUUGUGUACUGGUACAAAAUUUUAAAUAUAUUACAUUUUUGUUUUGGACAAAAUCUAAAUGACCAAAACUUAUAUGACUUUGUGUAAGUUAUUCGUGGAUCUUUUCUUUAAUUAAUUUGUUACUGAAGUGAGAGUAAACUACUAUGGCUUAAUGCUUAAAAUUACUAAUUAUAAAUCUAUUCAUAAUUCAAAUUAAGAUGUUUGUAAUUAUGACUAAAUAUGAGCAUGUUUAUAACUUUUAUAUGUAUCAGUAAAAGUACAAUCUCAAAUUAAUGUAAUAGUAAGAAAUGAUCAUGCAGCAUUUUCUUUGAUCCUAAAUGUCCCUGUUAUAAAGUAAUCAUGAAGGGAAUUAGAAAAACUGUCUUUUGUUCAUUUUUAAAAAUAACUUGUCUUACAUUGGGAAAACUAUACACAGUUUAGAAUAUUAAGAAAAUACAGAAAAUGUAUACAAGUCAAGGGAAAUAAUCAAUAAUCCCACAAUCUACAGCACUAAUCCUUUAUAGAAAAAUCCAUUGGUCACUGGAAAACAUGUUUAUUUCUCAGUACUUAUGUCUGGACUCUCCUUUUGAAAUUUAACAAUUCAUAAAAUUAAGCUCCUUUUCCCUUUUUUUCUUCUUUCCACAUUUUACAGUGAGUACCAGAGGCUCUGAGCUCUCCUGUAAGCAAUGCAGAGGCAGUGUUGGAUAACUCAGACAAAGACUUUUUCCAUUUAGAUUCCAUUCUGAGGAAGUCCAGAGCUAAUGCAUUCAAAGGCCAGAAACAAAAAUGUAUGCACAAUAAAAUCAGCACCUCAGUAUCAUUAAAUCCUUAGGUUCUUCCUGUUCUUCUCUAUUCCUCUUUGGGCUUAAUUCAUUCUUAGGUUGCUUUCAUUGUCACAUUAAAUAAUUUGUGCGUCAGUCUAUACUAAAUAUCUCCUGUUCAAGUCAGGAGGAUAUAAAGCAAACUUGACUCCUGAGCCUGGAAUAUAAACUAUUUCCUUCCUUGGAUUAGGUCAUUAAAUCAUGUACCAAACCUGGGAACAGCAAAAAUUUUUCACAUUCACUUACUUCAAAAUUGCUCUCAUCCAGGUUGUACCUUUAGGAUAUUUGGAAAAACUUACAGAACACAUUUAUGCAGGUCCAGGUUCAAGAUGGCUACAUAACAUCGUGAACUCACCUUUUUCCAUGGGCAAACUGAGUCUUCAGCUAUGCAAGGGAUAAUUGCCUCUUUAAAAAAAAAAAAAAUGUAAAGGCUGGCUGAUUGCUACAUAUCAGGCAAAUAGAAAGAAAACCACAUUGAAGAUUGCAGGAGGGGGUGGAACACAAUCUUGCCAUAAAUUCUACCUUUGUUGAGGAAACCUACAAGUAGUAGAAAACUCAAACCCUACAGCUUCUCCCUGAGGAGUCAAGGGUUUGAACCCUACAUUGAGUACUCAAGUUUUAGGACCUGCACUUGAGAGAUGAGCCCUUUAAACUUCUAACUGAAAAUCAACAGGCUCAAAUCCUGAGAAUCACAAGAUUGUAGUGAUAUUACCGGUAGCUCUUAAAGGGCCUCUGUAAUUGUACUUACCUGCCCCUAUUCCCAGCUCAGAGGAAGUUAGUCAUGCUCAGACUUAAAGUGAAGGAGGCUCACCUACUUAUAUUGAAAUGUCAGGCUAAGGACAGGCAUCUAACUUAACACACACAUUUAGGAGCUUGCUGAACACCCUCCAGGAGCAGAGACUUCUGGGUACCAUAUUUGCAAUCUCUCUUGCCAGGUCCAGAGCACCAGUAUCUCCGAGAACAGAGCUUUUACAUAUAUCUGAUGACAUCACUUUUAUUGCUGCUACCCAGGGUACACCUGUUUACAGCUUGGCUCUAGAGGCCAAGGAAGCUUGCAUUCCUAGUACAAGAGGUGACUAUGGUAGCCAAUGGGGCUUAUGUUUAUGGAUCCCUUAGAACUCUAGUCAAAGAAGAAAGCGUUCUUAAAAAGCUACUACUGCUAGGGCAUAGAAAGAGGCAAUAGACCCAGAAGUUCUGUCUUUGUGUGAAGGAGGCCUAUUAGCUAGUAAUCAUAGCUGCUCCCGAGAGGCAGGGUUGUAAUUGUUUGCCUUGAUUGCCUGGCUUUGGUGGUCAGGGGCCUUACAUUCCUGGGUCUCCUGAAUCUAUGUAGAGAGGUGGCACUUGCCUACAGUGUGCUACAGAUAGAAGACUAAGGCAUGCCCCCCACCACCCUAUUUUUCUUUGGUAUCUUAUAUACUCCUUAUAUGUCUUGGAGCUUUAGAUUGACAGGCAGGCUUUAGGUUGGGUGUACCUCUAACGGACUGCAGAGCUACUCUCAAGGAAUAUAAGCUGCAGACACCAUCUUGGUACUCUUUCUUGGCCUUACUCCAGCUUGCCAGUUAUCACCCAGAAAAUAGCUGUAUACACUAUCUGGAGCCCUGAUUUUGUGACUGCUGCCUAGGGGAAAAUGCUAGAUUGUCUGGCCAUUGUUAUAUUUAUUGUCUGGCCAGGGUUAUAUUUAUGGCCCCAUAUGAUACAUUUGCAUACUUUUAAAAGCUUCUGCCUGAGAAUUUGCCUUCCAAAAAGUCUCAGUCUCAGUCUAAGAGCCAGGAUGCUCUCCCUUAUGGACGCUAACAAGUCUAGGCACACCCUCAACUCCUGGGAGCUGUAAAAAGAUAAUAAGCUGCUUGGACAAGCACAAAAGUCUAAGUGACAACUAAGAGCUGAGGCAGUAUUGAACAAGAUGCUCCUCCUACAUGAGGCCUCUUCUUCAAGAUUGGAAGUGGUUGUUUUCGUUGUUUUUGUUUUUGUUCUUUAAUCUGCCCUAUAGAAAACAACACAGAGAGCCAAGCAAAUGAGGAAACAAAGGAAUGCAUUCCAUGAAAAAAAAA
rnacentral:lncRNA from 1 species